rnacentral:misc_RNA from 1 species
UGCCUAAUAGUUUUUAAUGAUUCAGCCACGAGGGUUGUUCAAUCAGUUCAAUCAAGAAUUACUCAAUAAAAGGAAAGAAUCUCGAUAAAAAAUAUCAAUCUUUAUCUUGAUAGGAUCAUAAAAAAUAAUAAUGCCUACAAUUAUGCACUAUAAUAUAACCAACCUAUGUCUAUAUUUUAUGAAGGUAAGUCUUUUCUCUUUAAUCAAUUUGAUACACUAUUCUCUCAUAUUACUUUUAAUUUGAGUGUCAAAUGUUUCUCACCAAAAACACUCAGAUGGACUUUUGAUCCAUUUUUUAUCUGUUUUGUUUUGUAGAUCCAUAUCCACAAGAUUAUUUUUUUUUUGACAAAACAAACUUCAUUAAAAGAUUAAAGCAAAGAAAUAUGAUGAGAAACAAGAUGAGCUACAGCAUGUGGAACUUCUUCUACCCAAACUUGCUCCUAAGCAUCAUCAGUACUAAACUGAAACUUAGACAAGGCAUAAGCAACAACAUUACCUGAACAAUGCACAUAUAACUACGAACAAUCACUGCAGAAACUCAAGACAAUCUUGAAUAACAAGACCUAGACCAUUAUUCAGAACCUCUUUAGAUUGCAACAUCAAACCAUACGAAAUUGCCAUAGCCUCAGAAACAUUUGGUGCCUAGGAACCAACAACCGACACUGCUGCCAAAACCAGUCCCCUCUCAUCUCGGAAAACCACACCCAGUUGAACCAUAUCUAGUGCAAAAUAAUCUGCAUCGACAUUCAAUUUAGCAACGCCUUGAGACGGUGGAGACCAGAUAGAAGAGCCUCACGAAACAGAAUGCAAUGGAUCCACACUCUCAAUAUCCUUUGUUUGCUGAUACUCGACAUGAUACUAUCCUGCUUUAUUCACAACCUUAUGUGGCCACCACUGGCAAUGCUCAAACACUACCUUAUUUCUGCUAACCCAAACAAAAUAACACAAGCAUGCUACUUUCAUCAUUUCAUCUGACAAACAUCUGUUUAGAAGAGCCAACCACCAAUGCUUGAAAUUUAGCCCUAAUACACACAGAGCCAUCCCAAACCACAUAAAUUCCAAGCAUUAUGAACCUGUGCACAAUCACAACACAAAUGAACUAGAGUUUCUUCAAGACUGCACAAAGGACAUGAUGGACUAAUGGAAGAGAUGCAGUGAUUCAACAGUCCUUUUGUUGGCAAAAUAUCCAACGCAGCACGCCAAAUGAAGUUAAUAGUCUUUGGAGGAGCAGCUAAUUUCCAGAUGGAUUUCCAAAUUUGAGAAUGUGUCUCUGAAGAGGUUAAGGCUAACAAUUGGUUGGAAAUUUUUAACUCCACAACCAACCGAUAACCACAUUGAAUUGAAUAGAAUCCACGAGAUUCAAAAUGCCAAACCAUUUUAUCUUAUCG